rnacentral:rRNA from 1 species
ACUCCUACGGGAGGCAGCAGUGGGGAAUAUUGCACAAUGGGGGAAACCCUGAUGCAGCCAUGCCGCGUGUGUGAAGAAGGCCUUCGGGUUGUAAAGCACUUUCAGUAGGGAGGAAGGUAGUGUAGUUAACACCUGCAUUAUUUGACGUUACCUACAGAAGAAGCACCGGCUAACUCCGUGCCAGCAGCCGCGGUAAUACGGAGGGUGCGAGCGUUAAUCGGAAUUACUGGGCGUAAAGCGCAUGCAGGCGGCCUGUUAAGUCAGAUGUGAAAGCCCGGGGUCUUAACCGUCGGAAUUGCAUUUGAAACUGGCAGGCUAGAGUCUUGUAGAGGGGUUAGAAUUUCAGGUGUAGCGGUGAAAUGCGUAGAGAUCUGAAGGAAUACCAGUGCGAAGGCGGCCCCCUGGACAAAGACUGACGCUCAGAUGCGAAAGCGUGGGAGCAAACAGGAUUAGAUACCCCGUGGUAGCGACUGA